AUACGGAGGGUGCAAGCGUUAAUCGGAAUUACUGGGCGUAAAGCGUACGUAGGCGGUUAUUUAAGUCAGAUGUGAAAGCCCCGGGCUUAACUUGGGAACUGCAUUUGAAACUGGGUAACUAGAGUUUAGUAGAGGGGAGUGGAAUUUCAGGUGUAGCGGUGAAAUGCGUAGAGAUCUGAAGGAACACCAGUGGCGAAGGCGACUCCCUGGACUAGAACUGACGCUGAGGUGCGAAAGCGUGGGUAGCAAACAGGAUUAGAAACCCCUGUAGUCC
rnacentral:rRNA from 1 species